rnacentral:rRNA from 1 species
CAGUCGCCACGGGAACACAGAGGAUGCAAGCGUUAUCCGGAAUGAUUGGGCGUAAAGUGUCUAUAGAUGGCUUUUCAAGUCCGCCGUCAAAUCCCAGGGCUCAACCGUGGACAGGCGGUGGAAACUACCAAGCUGGAGUACGGUAGGGGCAGAGGGAAUUUCCGAUGGAGCGGUGAAAUGCGUUGAGAUCGGCAAGAACACCAACGGCGAACGCACUCUGCUGGGCCGACACUGACACUGAGAGACGAAAGUUAGGGGAGAAAAUGGGAUUAGAUACCCCUGUAGUCCCUGUCUCUUAUAC